ACGUAGGUGGCAAGCGUUGUCCGGAAUUAUUGGGCGUAAAGCGCGCGCAGGUGGUUAUAUAAGUCUGAUUUUAAAGUUCGGGGCUCAACCCCGUGAUGGCUUGGAAACUUUAUAACCUGAGUACAGUAGAGGUAAGCGGAAUUCCCAGUGGAGCGGUGAAAGGAGGAGAUAGUGGGAGGAAAACAAGAGGCGAAGGAGGAAAACGGGGAAGAAAAAGACACGGAGGAAAGAAAGAGAGGGGAGAAAAAAG
rnacentral:rRNA from 1 species